GUCUUUUUGAUUAUAAUUUAAAGUCUAACCUGCCCAAUGAGUAUUUGAAUGGCCGCGGUAAUUUGACCGUGCAAAGGUAGCAUAAUCAUUAGUUUUUUAAUUGAAAGCUGGAAUGAACGGUUGGACGAGAAAAUAACUGUCUCAAUUUAAUUGAAUAUAGAAUUUUAUUUGUAAGUAAAAAAGCUUACAUAAUUUUAAAAGACGAGAAGACCCUAUAGAGUUUUAUAUUUUAUUGUAUUAAUUAUUUUUAGUAUAUAUAUAUAUUUAAUACAAUAAAGUAUUUUGCUGGGGCAGCAGAAAAAUUAAUUAAACUUUUUUUUAUUAAUAUAACAUUAAUUUAUGGUUAUAUGAUCCAUUUUUUAUGAUUACAAGAUUUAAUUACCUUAGGGAUAACAGCGUAAUUUUUUUUAAGAGUUCUUAUCGAAAAAAGAGUUUGCGACCUCGAUGUUGGAUUAAAAUUAACUUUUGGUGUAGGGGCUAAAAGGUUAGGUCUGUUCGACCUUUAAAAUUUUACA
rnacentral:rRNA from 1 species